AUUGAACGCUGGCGGCAGGCCUAACACAUGCAAGUCGAACGAGUGGCGGACGGGUGAGUAAAGUCUGGGAAACUGCCUGAUGGAGGGGGAUAACUACUGGAAAAGGUAGCUAAUACCGCAUACCAUCAGAUGUGCCCAGAUGGGAUUAGAUAGUUGGGGGGGAAACGGCUCACCAAGGCGACGAUCCCUCACUGGUCUGAGAGGAUGAACAGCAACACUGGGACUGAGACACGGUCCAGACUCAUACGGGAGGCAGCAGUGGGGAAUAUUGUACAAUGGGCUCAAGCCUGCUGCAGCCAUUCCGCGUGUAUGAAGAAGGCCUUCGGGUUGUAAAGUACUUUCAGCGGGGAGGCGUUACCCGCAGAAGAAGCACCGGCUAACUCCGUGCCAGCAGCCGCGGUAAUUC
rnacentral:rRNA from 1 species